rnacentral:rRNA from 1 species
GACGAACGCUGGCGGCGCGCCUAACACAUGCAAGUCGAGCGAGAACCGGGGCUUCGGCCCCGGGGACAGCGGCGAACGGGUGAGUAACACGUGGAUAACCUGCCCUCGGCACCGGAAUAGCCCGGGGAAACUCGGAUUAAUGCCGGAUAGCCCCACAUCCCUGCGGGGAACGUGGGAAAAGGUAGCUUCGGCCUCUGGCCGGGGAUGGGUCCGCGGUGGAUUAGCUUGUUGGCGGGGUAACGGCCCACCAAGGCGACGAUCCAUAGCUGGUCUGAGAGGACGAUCAGCCACACUGGGACUGGGACACGGCCCAGACUCCUACGGGAGGCAGCAGUGGGGAAUCUUGCGCAAUGGGCGAAAGCCUGACGCAGCGACGCCGCGUGCGGGAAGAAGGCCUUCGGGUUGUAAACCUCUUUCAGGAGGGACGAAGCUACUCGGGUUAAUACCCCAGAGGGUGACGGUACCUCCAGAAGAAGCCCCGGCUAACUACGUGCCAGCCGCCGCCGUAAGAC